GCCAAUUUAAGUCUAGGAAAAAGAUUCUGGAAGAGGUUCCACAGAGCUGUGCAGACUUUUGCCUGCAAAGAUUUGUGACUGUUGGAUUUAUAAGAAGUGUUCCUCAUCAACAGAGAUUUCCUUUCUGACAUAGUCAAAAGAGAUUCAGGAACUAUCCCCCUCACAGCUGCAGAAGCCUUAGGGAAGUAGGCCGCGUUGGCUUCUAGAAUGGUGUGACGCCAGGAGAUGCAUUUCAUCUCAAUUUACCAUUGUAGGAUGAUAACUUACUGAGACACUAACAUGCUGAAGAAUUACAAGAGUAAAAGUGCAUUUGUGCUUUGGAAUCUGAACUUUUUCCUCUCUCUGUGUGAGAAAGUAGCAAGGCCUUUGUCUUCUCUUUCUUCAAUGUGUUUGCAAAGCAGGAAGUCAAAGUUCCAGGCCAGGCAUGGUGGCUCAUGCCUGUAAUCCCAGAACUCUGGGACGCCAAGGUAUGUGGAUCAUUUGAAGCCAGGAGUUCGAGACCAGCCUGGUCAACAUGGUGAAACCCCACCUCUACUAAAAAUAUUUGAUAGCUGGGCGUGGUGGCGGGCACCUGUAGUCCCAGCUACUCAGGAGGCUGAGGCAGGAGAAUUGCUGGAACCUGGGAGGUAGAGGUUGCUGUGAGCCAAGAUCGUGCCACUGCACUCCGUCCUGGGCAACAGAAUGAGACACCAUCUCAAAAAAAAAAAAAAAAAAAAAAAAAGUCAAAGUUCCUGAAAGACAACGUCUCUCCUUGGAUUUUAUGAAAACUUAAGACUACUAAGAAGAUGAGACUAGGCGUCCUGGAAGAGGAUGGGAGAUUCGUGAGUGCCCAAAGUUGAGUACAGGGAGGAAACACUAAGAGGAAAGAGAUUCCAACCACAAGAGGAAAGAGACAGAACUCUUUUUUUUUGAGAUGGAGCCUUGCUUUGUCACCCAGGCUGGAGUGCAGUGGCAUGAUCUUGGCUCACUGCAAUCUCUGCCUCCCAGGUUCAAGGGAUUCUCUUGCCUCAGCCUCCCGAGUAGCUGUGACUACAGGACUACUAGCCAGCCCACCACCAUGCCUGGCUAAUUUUUGUGUUUUUAGUAGAGAUGGAGUUUUGCCAUGUUGGCCAGGCUGGUCUCAAACUCCUGACCUCAAGUGAUCCACCCACCUUGGCCUCCCAAAGUGCUCCCAAAGGGAGCCACCGUGCCCGGCCAGAAACUCUUGGUAGUAAGGUUGCUAAUCCAUGCCCCAAGAGAGCCUGAAAAACUUGAGAGGACUUUUGGGGAAAUGACUGUGUAGUGAGCCCACACCCAGCAUGCCCAGACUUUCAGCCCGUGAGAAUGUUCAUGCCCAGGCACAACAUGGAAGCUGAGCUUGCUAUUUUCAAGGUACCAGGUGGGCUCAUUAUAGAUAAGGGGUAUGGACUAAGACCAGAAGGGACCUCCCCAAAUAUUUUAUUCCACCAAAAACCCCACACCUCUUAGGUGGGCUGGACAAGUAGUGUGACCUUCAGUAAAAAUAAUAUAUGUAGGCUGCUGAUUUGGAAUUUGGAUGGAAUUAAAGAAAAUAAAAUAAAGGGAAUGACAUUUCUUGCACAUUCUUUAUGGUGGUUGUGAAUUCAUAGCUAUAUCAUCAGAAUGCUUUGAUGGAGAACAUGAGGACAUGUGGAACCUGGCCACUUACAUGGAAGGUACCAUCAACCCACGUCUUCCCUGACAAGACUACUCCUUGCAGGUCCUCAAGGGCUCUGCAAACAUGUCUUUGUUUCCUGAUGGCUCAGAAGCUGUUAGGUCAAGGUUGAGCUCACCUGGGUGUGUUGCAGCUGGAUGCAGAUCAAACUCCUCAUGUUUCACAACCAGAAUUUAGAUGCAUUGAACUCAUUGGUUACUACCAAUAUUUAAAAUUCCAAAGCUUCUGAGUAUAUUUGUGUUUUUCAUGAAUCAGAGUAGUAUAUUUAGUUAAUACAUAUGUAUCUAAUUUUAUUAUGGACCAGGCAGGGUGCUAGGCAUAGAAGAUGCAAUGGGGAAGGAGCAGUUUUUCCUGAAUUUUCUAUUGCCUUCUUAUGUGGGACUGCAGGUCUGGGAUUAACAGCCAGCCUUCUGAGAAUGUGCAUCAUUGUGUGUUUGCAAUAAGAGAGGAAAAGAAGAGAAGACUGUUGGUCCGGAUGUUUUAAGAGCAUCAUAUACCGAAGUAGUGACUUAGUGAGCUCCUGCAAGGUGAACCGUGUUAGAGAACGCCUGAACCUAUCUCAGCACAUGGUAUCACCUUCCAUCUAGUUCUGUGUCUCUCAAGUCUGUUGAUUAGAAGAAUCCCCUGGGGAGCUUUAAAAAUAUGCCAGUGUUCAGGACUCUUCCCCUAGACCAAUGAACUCAGAAUAUAGAAAUUGACCACAUUAUGGAAUGUAUUAAACACGCUUCCAGGUGAUUCCAAAGUACUGAUGCCUGGUUCCCAUCCCUCAUGGAUUCUGAUUUAACUUGUCUAUGCAUGACCUGAUUUUAAAAGCUCUUCCAGUUAUUCCAAUCAUCAGUUUGGUAACUAUUGGACACAAUGUGUGCUCCCUGCCCCACGAGUGUAACUUGGGAGCUUAUUAGAAAUGCAAAUUCUCUGCCAGGCACGGUGGCUCACACCUGUAAUCCCAGUACUUUGAGAGGCCGAGGCCGGUGGAUCACUUGAGGUCAGAAGUCUGAGACCAGCCUGGCCAACAUGGUGAAACCCCAUCUCUACUAAAAAUACAAAAAUUAGCUGGGUGUGGUGGCAUGCACCUGUAAUCCCAGCUACUCAGGAGGCUGAGGCGGGAGAAUCACUUGAAUCUGGGAGACAGAGGUUGCAGUGAGCCAAGAUGGCGCCACUGCACUCCAGGCAGGUCAACAGAGUGAGACUCCGUCUCAAAAAAAAAAAAAAAAAAAAAAAGCAAAUUCUCAAGCCCCACUCAGACAUAUUGAAUGGGAAAUUCUGGGAGUAGGUCCCGCCCUUCCAACAACAGCAGAAUACAUGUUCUUUUCAAGUGCUCAUGGAACACAUACCAAGAUAGAACAUAACCUAAGCCGUAAAACAAACAUCAACAAAUUUGAAAGAAUUGAAAUAAUACAGUGUGUUCUCCAACCAAGAUGGAAUCAAACUAUUUGAGAAACCUACAUAAUGCUGAAAUUCUAGCCAGUGCAAUGAGGCAAGAAAGGGAAAUAAACACAGGUUGGAAAGGAAGAAAUAAAAUGACCCCUCUUUUCAGAUAGCAUGAUUGUCUACUUAGAAAAUCUAAAGGAAUCUACAAACUAACAACAACAACAACAAAAACCCACCCUUAGAACUAAUAGAUAAGUCAGUACGGUCACAGGAUACAAGAUAUACACACAAAAAUCAAUUGUAAUUCUAUAAACUAGCAACAAACAUGAAAUUGAAACAAUACAAUUUAUCAUAAACCCCCAAAAUAAAAUACUUAGUGUAAAUCUAACCAAACAUGUACAGAAGUUUUAUGCUGAAAACUACACUAUGUUGAUGAGAAAGAAAUCAAAUAAAAGUUAAAUAGAUGUAGAGAUGUACCAUGUUCAUCAGUCGAAAGCCUCAAUGUAGUAGACAUCAAUUCUCAAAUUGACGGUUUCAUUGCAGUUUCUACCAAAAUCCCAGCAAGAUAUUUUGGAGAUAUAGACAGGAUUAUUCUAACAUUUAUAUAGAAGGAGCUACAGCUGGGUGUGGUGGCUCACAUCUGUAAUCCCAGCACUUUGGGAGGCCGAGGCAGGUGGAUCACCUGAGGUCAGGAGUUCAAGGCUGGAUGAAAUCCCAUCUCUACAAAAAUACAAAAAUUAGCCAGGCAUGAUGGCGGGUGCCUAUAAUCCCAGCUACUUGGGAGGCUGAGGCAGGAGAAUCACUUGAACCUGGGAGGCAGAGGUUACAGUGAGCCGAGAUCACACCACUGCACUCCAGCCUGGGUGACAGCAUUACUCUGUCUCUCUUUCUCUCUCUGUCUCUCUCUCACACACACACACAAAAGAAAAAAAAAAAGAAAAGAAAGGAAAUACAAUAGCUAAAACAAAUUUGUAAAAGAAGAAUAAAUUGGGAGGAAUCAUGCUGUCUGAUUUGAAGACUUACUACAUAGCUACAAUAAACAAGACUGUAUACUAUUGGCUAAGUUAGGAAAGAAACAAAAAAUUAUAAUUUGUCACAGAUAUUUUAUAAGAUGAAAUAAAAAUAAAUGUUUAGAAAAUGAAACAAAAAACAAAUGUAUAUAAAGCAUUCUUUUUUUUUAUUGUCAGGCUUGGCAGACAUAAAAUUACUCUGUUGAAAUCACUAAAAAAUUUAUAAAUGCUUACUCUCAAUCUGUGCAUUUUGCUGUGGAUUAUGGACUGGCACCAGUUCCUGGAGCAACUUUGAGUAGCGCUGCCCUGGUUGGGGAAUGUUUAUUAAGCAGGUUGCCUGUUCACUCUGGGUAUAUACCCAAAGAAUUAUAAAUCAUGCUGCUAUAAAGACACAUGCACACGUAUGUUUAUUGCGGCACUACUCACAAUAGCAAA
rnacentral:lncRNA from 1 species